UAGGGAAUAUUAGAAAUGGACGAAAGUCUGAUCUAGCAACACCGCGUGUGCGAAGAAGGCCUUCGGGUUGUAAAGCACUUUUUGGAAGGAUUAGGAAGGAAUGUACUUCCAGAAUAAGUCUCGGCUAACUACGUGCCAGCAGCCGCGGUAACACGUAGGAGGCAAACGUUAUCCGGAUUUACUGGGCGUAAAGCGCGUGUAGGUGGUUCUGUAAGUAGGGCGUGAAAGCUCCUGGCUCAACUGGGAGAGGCCGUUCUAAACUGCAGAGCUAGAGGAUGGUAGAGGGAGGUGGAAUUCCGGGUGUAGCGGUGGAAUGCGCAGAUAUCCGGAGGAACACCAGUGGCGAAAGCGGCCUCCUGGACCAUUCCUGACACUCAGACGCGAAAGCUAGGGUAGCAAACG
rnacentral:rRNA from 1 species